rnacentral:rRNA from 1 species
GACGAACGCUGGCGGCGUGCUUAACACAUGCAAGUCGAACGGUGAAGCGCUUGCCUUUUUGGUGGGUGUGGAUGAGUGGCGAACGGGUGAGUAACACGUGAGUAACCUGCCCUCUUCUUCUGGAUAACCUCAUGAAAGUGGGGCUAAUACGGGGUAUUCCGGGUCUGUCGCAUGGCGGGUUUGGGAAAGAUUGCGCCUUUGGGUGUUUUCGGUGGGGGAUGGGCUCGCGGCCUAUCAGCUUGUUGGUGGGGUGAUGGCCUACCAAGGCGGUGACGGGUAGCCGGCCUGAGAGGGUGGACGGCCACACUGGGACUGAGACACGGCCCAGACUGCUGCGGGAGGCAGCAGUGGGGAAUAUUGCACAAGGGGCGCAAGCCUGAUGCAGCGACGCCGCGUGAGGGAUGGAGGCCUUCGGGUUGUGAACCUCUUUCGCCAGUGAAGCAGGCCUGCUCCUGUGUGGGUGGGUUGACGGUAGCUGGAUAAGAAGCGCCGGCUAACUACGUG